GGGGAAUAUUGCACAAUGGGGGAAACCCUGAUGCAGCGACGCCGCGUGAAGGAAGAAGGUAUUCGUAUUGUAAACUUCUGUCGCAGAUGACGAAAAGAUGACGGUAAUCUGCAAGAAAGCACCGGCUAACUACGUGCCAGCAGCCGCGGUAAAACGUAGGGUGCUAGCGUUGUCCGGAAUUACUGGGUGUAAAGGGAGCGCAGGUGGCAGUGCAAGUUGGAUGUAAAAUCUACGGGCUCAACCCGUAUAAGCAUUCAAAACUGUGCAGCUUGAGUGAAGUAGAGGUAGGUGGAAUUUCCGGUGUAGCGGUGGAAUGCGUAGAUAUCGGAAGGAACAUCAGUGGCGAAGGCGACCUACUGGGCUUUAACUGACGCUGAGGCUCGAAAGCAUGGGUAGCAAACAGGAUUAGAUACCCUGGUAGUCCAUGCUGUAAACGAUGAUUACUAGGUGUGGGGGCGAAAGCUUCCGUGCCGGAGUUAACACAAUAAGUAAUCCACCUGGGGAGUACGACCGCAAGGUUGAAACUCAAAGGAAUUGACGGGGGCCCGCACAAGCAGUGGAGUAUGUGGUUUAAUUCGAAGCAACGCGAAGAACCUUACCAGGUCUUGACAUCGUGCGCAUAGGCAAGAGAUUGCUGAAAUCACUCUUUGAGUGACGUAUAGACAGGUGGUGCAUGGUUGUCGUCAGCUCGUGUCGUGAGAUGUUGGGUUAAGUCCCGCAACGAGCGCAACCCUUAUCAUUAGUUACUACGAAAGAGGACUCUAAUGAGACUGCCGUUGAGAAAACGGAGGAAGGUGGGGAUGACGUCAAAUCAUCAUGCCCCUUAUGACCUGGGCUACACACGUACUACAAUGGCUGUCAACAAAGUGAACCAAAUACGCGAGUAAGAGGGAAACACAAAAAACAGUCACAGUUCGGAUUGUAGGCUGCAACUCGCCUACAUGAAGCCGGAAUUGCUAGUAAUCGCGGAUCAGCAUGCCGCGGUGAAUACGUUCCCG
rnacentral:rRNA from 1 species